rnacentral:sRNA from 1 species
UCGUCCCUUUCCGCCAUCAGGCACAUGGGCAUCGGUACCGGGAAAGGUGCAUUCACAACCGUAAAUCAGGAUCUUCCAGAGCUUGUGUCUGCCGGAUUAUCACCGGUGGUGAACGGUGGAGCGGUUUAUAUGCAGGGACCGCAUAAUGAAACGCUAUCUUUGUAUUGCGUUCAUUGUUACCAGCGUAUUCGUGGUAAGAAGUGACGAGUCUGUCGUAUCCGUUGCCCUUACCGCGUACAUGCAGGACAAAUAGCGUUAAGGCCGCCAUCAGGGCGGCCUUUUUU